rnacentral:rRNA from 1 species
UCGAUUCCCUUAGUAGCGGCGAGCGAAACGGGAAGAGCCCAAACCAACAAGCUUGCUUGUUGGGGUUGUAGGACACUCUAUACGGAGUUACAAAGGACGACAUUAGACGAAUCAUCUGGAAAGAUGAAUCAAAGAAGGUAAUAAUCCUGUAGUCGAAAAUGUUGUCUCUCUUGAGUGGAUCCUGAGUACGACGGAGCACGUGAAAUUCCGUCGGAAUCUGGGAGGACCAUCUCCUAAGGCUAAAUACUCUCUAGUGACCGAUAGUGAACCAGUACCGUGAGGGAAAGGUGAAAAGCACCCCGGAAGGGGAGUGAAAUAGAACCUGAAACCGUGUGCUUACAAGUAGUCAGAGCCCGUUAAUGGGUGAUGGCGUGCCUUUUGUAGAAUGAACCGGCGAGUUACGAUUUGAUGCAAGGUUAAGCAGUAAAUGUGGAGCCGUAGCGAAAGCGAGUCUGAAUAGGGCGUUUAGUAUUUGGUCGUAGACCCGAAACCAGGUGAUCUACCCUUGGUCAGGUUGAAGUUCAGGUAACACUGAAUGGAGGACCGAACCGACUUACGUUGAAAAGUGAGCGGAUGAACUGAGGGUAGCGGAGAAAUUCCAAUCGAACCUGGAGAUAGCUGGUUCUCUCCGAAAUAGCUUUAGGGCUAGCCUCAAGUGAUGAUUAUUGGAGGUAGAGCACUGUUUGGACGAGGGGCCCCUCUCGGGUUACCGAAUUCAGACAAACUCCGAAUGCCAAUUAAUUUAACUUGGGAGUCAGAACAUGGGUGAUAAGGUCCGUGUUCGAAAGGGAAACAGCCCAGACCACCAGCUAAGGUCCCAAAAUAUAUGUUAAGUGGAAAAGGAUGUGGCGUUGCCCAGACAACUAGGAUGUUGGCUUAGAAGCAGCCAUCAUUUAAAGAGUGCGUAAUAGCUCACUAGUCGAGUGACACUGCGCCGAAAAUGUACCGGGGCUAAACAUAUUACCGAAGCUGUGGAUUGUCCUUUGGACAAUGGUAGGAGAGCGUUCUAAGGGCGUUGAAGCAUGAUCGUAAGGACAUGUGGAGCGCUUAGAAGUGAGAAUGCCGGUGUGAGUAGCGAAAGACGGGUGAGAAUCCCGUCCACCGAUUGACUAAGGUUUCCAGAGGAAGGCUCGUCCGCUCUGGGUUAGUCGGGUCCUAAGCUGAGGCCGACAGGCGUAGGCGAUGGAUAACAGGUUGAUAUUCCUGUACCACCUAUAAUCGUUUUAAUCGAUGGGGGGACGCAGUAGGAUAGGCGAAGCGUGCGAUUGG